AGUGAACGCUGGCGGUAGGCCUAACACAUGCAAGUCGAACGGCAGCACAGUAAGAGCUUGCUCUUACGGUUGGCGAGUGGCGGACGGGUGAGGAAUACAUCGGAAUCUACUUUUUCGUGGGGGAUAACGUAGGGAAACUUACGCUAAUACCGCAUACGACCUACGGGUGAAAUCAGGGGAUCUUCGGACCUUGCGCGAUUGAAUGAGCCGAUGUCGGAUUAGCUAGUUGGCGGGGUAAAGGCCCACCAAGGCGACGAUCCGUAGCUGGUCUGAGAGGAUGAUCAGCCACACUGGAACUGAGACACGGUCCAGACUCCUACGGGAGGCAGCAGUGGGGAAUAUUGGACAAUGGGCGCAAGCCUGAUCCAGCCAUACCGCGUGGGUGAAGAAGGCCUUCGGGUUGUAAAGCCCUUUUGUUGGGAAAGAAAAGAAGCAGGUUAAUCCCCCGCUGUUCUGACGGUACCCAAAGAAUAAGCACCGGCUAACUUCGUG
rnacentral:rRNA from 1 species